rnacentral:rRNA from 1 species
UACGUAGGUGGCAAGCGUUGUCCGGAUUUCUUGGGUUUAAAGGGUGCGUAGGCGGCCUAUUAAGUCAGUGCUGAAAUAUCCCGGCUUAACCGGGAGGGUGGCAUUGAUACUGAUGGGCUUGAGUAGAGUUGAGGUUGGCGGAAUUGACGGUGUAGCGGUGAAAUGCUUAGAUAUCGUCAAGAACACCUAUUGCGAAGGCAGCUAACUAAGCUCAAACUGACGCUGAGGCACGAAAGUGUGGGGAGCAAACAGG